rnacentral:tRNA from 1 species
GGUGGGGUUAGCUCAGUGGUAGAGCACUUGUUUAACAUGCACAAGGUCCUGAGUUCAAUCCCCAGCACUGCCA